UAUGAAGCCAGUGGAAACGUCCAGGGCCUGCCAACUGCCAAGCUGCUGCCCUCCUCCUGGUUCCAGUGUGAAUUACAAAUGCCAUGGCCACCACAGAGCUGGGCUAGCUGCUCCAGGUGCUGUGCCUGGGAGGCCUGAUCCGAUAGCUCCUCUGAGGACGCCCAUCCUGUCCCUGCCGAGCCCAGCAAAGCCUCCUCCUGGGGGCCUGUUGCACACACACAGGUCAUGUAAUCAGACGCAGUCAGCUGCCCGCUAAUGUCUGUCUCUAUCCUUCUCUUUCUCACACUCUAUCCCUCUCUCUCUUUCUAUCCCCCUAACUCCCUCUCGCUCUGUCUCUGCCUCUCUCCACAGCAAGUAAACAGAAUCCAAAAGGCUGGCGACGUGGUCUCUGGCAGGGCUGGCAGUGUGGAGAUGAGAAUGAAGUUAACAGCAGGAUACAGUGGAGCCAACAGGAUAGUGAGCAGAGGAGCAGAGACAGACAGACAGACUCCUUCUCUUCACCGUGUACCGUGCACUGUCAACAGGAAACAUGCUGAUCCUGUGCUGUGAGUGGCAACAUGACGUUUCACAUUGGUGAAGGUUGUAUUGGAACUCAAGGGCAGGUGACGAGCUGAGCUAAAGAGCAAGCGGAGGCAGGCUGAGAGAGGCUCAAUGGCUGAGAGAAGACAGAUCCACGCCCCUCCCUCUCCUCCCACGCUGCAUCAGGAAAGGAGGAGAGGAAGUCAGAGGGGAUUUGUUCACUGACUGGCAGAGCCCACGACCAAUCACUGUUUUACUCACGUACAGUAGACCAGCCAGCGUGUGUGAGCAGUCUCAGCAAGUAGGAAAUGGAGCUGUCGACUGAGCACUGUGGCUGGCUUUCCCUCACUCCUUAUGAAACCAAACUGCAGGGCUUUAAGCUUCUGCAAGGAUUCACUACUGUGCACGCUUAAUAUAUUAGAUUUGUUAAUUUCAUAUAAUUUCAGGAUACACUGACCUAAUUUGUCUAGUGCACUCGUACAGCAAUUUUGUGCAAGUGUGAAAACAUGUCUUGGGGGGAAGGAAUUAAAUCAAGAAAUCUUAAUGCUUUACUUAUGGUUUAUAAAUGAGAAGCCUGUGAAAAUGUGCAAUGUCCAUACACAGACUUGAGAAUGUGCUUGAGAAAGAAAUUCAAUAUGUCUACAUGUUUCCCUGAGUAGCAUAAGCACAUGGACGUUUUAACAUAUAUUCAUAACAUUUUUAUAUUGAUAUAUAUCUUUUUUUAUAAUAAUAAUUACAUAUUUGAUAUCAAUAAUAAAAAAAAAUUAUAUCAACAAUUUUUGGGGAUGUCAAUGCACUUCAUGAAGGCGGGAUUGCAUGUGCAUGCUUCUACAUACAGUCGCUAGUCUACACACCCCUUGUACGAUCUUCACAUUUUGCUGCCUUAAAAUGUAAUCUAAAAAGAGACGUGCAAGGCUAGAUUUAUUUCCUAUAGAUCUACACAAUUUGCUCCUCUUUUUCAAAGUAAAAUAAAAAUUAUAGAACAUUUUACAAAUGAAUACAAAAAUAAGAAAUGAAAAUGUGUUAAUGACGUGUCUUCACACCCCAGAUUUAAUAUGUGGUGUCACGACUUCUGCUGAAGUUGGUUCCUCUCCCUGUUUGUGCGGUGUUCGGCGGUCGACGUCACCGGUCUUCUAGCCAUCGCCGAUCCAUUUUUCAUUUUCUAUUUGUUUUGUCUUGUUUUCCCACACACCUGGAUUUCAUUUCCCUCAUUACUUGUUGUGUAUUUAACCCUCUGUUCCCCCCAUGUCUUUGUGUGGUAUUGUUUGUUUGUAAGUGCUUGUGCACAUGUUGACUGGUGCGUGUCGGGUUUUGUACCCAUGUUGUUAUUUUCUUGAUGCCGUUGGUUUUGGUAUUAAACUGCUCUGGCUAUUACCUAGUUAUGCUCUCCUGCGUCUGACUUCCCUGCACCAGUUAUGCACCCCUUACAUGUGGUGGAAGCACCUUUGGCAGCCAUUACAGUUGUGAAUCAUUUUGAAAAAUAUUCUUCUAGCCUUGCAUGACUU
ensembl:lncRNA